UACGUAGGGUGCAAGCGUUGUCCGGAAUUAUUGGGCGUAAAGGGCUCGUAGGCGGUCCAUCACGUCGGGAGUGAAAAGCUGGGGCUUAACCCCAGUCCUGCUUCCGAUACGGGUGGACUAGAGGUAGGCAGGGGAGAACGGAAUUCCUGGUGUAGCGGUGAAAUGCGCAGAUAUCAGGAGGAACACCGGUGGCGAAAGCGCUCUGCUGGACCUUAACUGACACUGAGGGACGAAAGCUAGGGGAGCGAAUGGG
rnacentral:rRNA from 1 species